rnacentral:rRNA from 1 species
CGGGGAAUAUUGCACAAUGGGCGAAAGCCUGAUGCAGCGACGCCGCGUGGGGGAUGAAGGCUCUCGGGUUGUAAACCCCUUUCAGCAGGGACGAAUUCAGACGGUACCUGCAGAAGAAGCCCCGGCCAACUACGUGCCAGCAGCCGCGGUAACACGUAGGGGGCAAGCGUUGUCCGGAUUUAUUGGGCGUAAAGAGCUCGUAGGCGGUUCGAUAAGUCGGGUGUGAAAACUCUGGGCUCAACUCAGAGACGCCACCCGAUACUGUCGUGACUGGAGUCUGGUAGGGGAGUGUGGAAUUCCCGGUGUAGCGGUGAAAUGCGCAGAUAUCGGGAGGAACACCAGUGGCGAAGGCGGCACUCUGGGCCAGUACUGACGCUGAGGAGCGAAAGCGUGGGGAGCGAACAGG